UCUGAUAAGGGUAAACCCAUCGUAAGGUGGGGACACAAAGCCAACGGGUCCUGGAGCACAGGACGGCCGGGUUGCCGGAG
rnacentral:ncRNA from 1 species